CGCUCAGGUGUCCCAGUGGUUAGAGCGUUCGCCUCAGAUGCGGGAGGUCGUGGGUUGAAAUACCGGCCGAGUCA